GACGAACGCUGGCGGCGUGCUUAACACAUGCAAGUCGAGCGAGGCCCACCCCUCGGGGUGGUGUCCUAGCGGCGAACGGGUGAGUAACACGUGGGCAACCUGCCCCUGGCUCGGGGAUAACCCCAAGAAAUUGGGGCUAAUACCGGAUAUGACCGCUGACCGCAUGGUCUGGUGGUGGAAAGAUUUAUCGGCUGGGGAUGGGCCCGCGGCCGAUCAGCUUGUUGGUGGGGUAGUGGCCUACCAAGGCGACGACGGGUAGCCGGCCUGAGAGGGUGACCGGCCACACUGGGACUGAGACACGGCCCAGACUCCUACGGGAGGCAGCAGUGGGGAAUAUUGCGCAAUGGGCGGAAGCCUGACGCAGCGACGCCGCGUGGGGGAUGACGGCCUUCGGGUUGUAAACCUCUUUCAGCAGGGACGAAGCCCGCAAGGGUGACGGUACCUGCAGAAGAAGCACCGGCCAACUACGUGCCAGCAGCCGCCGCGGUAA
rnacentral:rRNA from 1 species